rnacentral:rRNA from 1 species
AGAUACCAAGGCUUAACCUUGGGCAGGCAGUAGAGUACCUUUAGACUUGAGUGCGGUAGAGGUAGAGGGAAUCCCUAGCGUAACAGUGAAAUGUGUAGAUUUUAGGGAGAACACCAGCGGCGAAGGCSCUCUACUGGGCCGAGACUGACACUGAGAGACGAAAGCUAAGGGAGUGAAUAGGAUUAGAUACCCUAGUAUUCUUAGCUGUAAACGAUGGAAACUAANUGCUGCCGAAUGCAGUGCUGUAGCUAACNNGUUAAGUUUCCCGCCUGGGGAGUAUGCUCGCAAGAGUGAAACUCAGAGGAAUUGACGGGGNCCCGCACAAGCAGUGGAUUAUGUGGUUUAAUUCGAUGCAACKCAAGAACCU